AUUCGGGAGCUGCGAGAUGACGCCAGCGUUUUGCGCCAACAGCAUUCCUGGUCGCGCAAUUGAGUUCUUGGUUGGAAAGGAAUUGGUACACUCAAUUAUGGAGGCUGAAAAGUCCUACAAUGUGCAGUCUGCAAGUUGGACAUCCUGGAAAGCUGGUGGUGUAAUUCAGUCUGAGUCUGAAGGCCUGAGAACCAGGGGAGCUGAUGGUGUAAAUCCAGUCUAAGUACAGGAGAAGAAUGACGUACCAGCUGAGCAGUCAGCCUCCUCAUGGACCAGCUCCUGAUGUAUCAAAAGUCCCGAAAAGCCCAGCCACCUGCUUCCUCAUUGGUGUUAUACCCAAGAACAGCCCAGCAAGCUUCUGGAUCCUAGAGUCGCUGUCAUCACUGUUCAUACAUAACCACCUCUUCCUGAUUCUCUUUGAAGAUUGCUGAGGGUCAAGCUUG